rnacentral:rRNA from 1 species
UACGGAGGGAGCUAGCGUUGUUCGGAAUUACUGGGCGUAAAGCGCGCGUAGGCGGCUUUGUAAGUUAGAGGUGAAAGCCCGGGGCUCAACCCCGGAACUGCCUUUAAAACUGCAUCGCUUGAAUCCGGGAGAGGUGAGUGGAAUUCCGAGUGAAGAGGUGGAAUUCGUAGAUAUUCGGAAGAACACCAGUGGCGAAGGCGGCUCACUGGACCGGCAUUGACGCUGAGGUGCGAAAGCGUGGGGAGCAAACAGG